UAGGUGGAUAGGUAGAGAAUACCAAGGCGAUCGAGAGAAUCGUGGUGAAGGAACUCGGCAAAAUACCCCCGUAACUUCGGGAUAAGGGGGACCUGACGUGUCACAGGACUUGCUCCUGCCGGCACUGAGGGUCGCAGAGACCAGGCCCAAGCGACUGUUUACUAAAAACACAGGUCCGUGCCAAGUUGAAAGACGAUGUAUACGGACUGACUCCUGCCCGGUGCUGGAAGGUUAAGGGGAAGUGUUAGCGCAAGCGAAGCACCGAACUUAAGCCCCAGUAAACGGCGGUGGUAACUAUAACCAUCCUAAGGUAGCGAAAUUCCUUGUCGGGUAAGUUCCGACCUGCACGAAUGGAGUAACGAUUUGGGCGCUGUCUCCACCACGAACUCGGCGAGAUUGCACUAUGAGUAAAGAUGCUCAUUACGCGCAGCAGGACGGAAAGACCCCGGGACCUUUACUAUAGUUUGGUAUUGGUGUUCGGUACAGCUUGUGUAGGAUAGGUGGGAGACUUUGAAGCGAGGACGCCAGUUCUUGUGGAGUCAACGUUGAAAUACCACUCUGGCUGUUCUGGAUAUCUAACCUAGGUCCAUUAUCUGGAUCAGGGACAGUGCCUGAUGGGUAGUUUGACUGGGGCGGUCGCCUCCCAAAAUGUAACGGAGGCGCCCAAAGGUUCCCUCAGCCUGGUUGGCAAUCAGGUUUGAGUGUAAGUGCACAAGGGAGCUUGACUGUGAGAGGGACACCUCGAGCAGGGACGAAAGUCGGGACUAGUGAUCUGACGGUGGCACGUGGAAGCGCCGUCACUCAACGGAUAAAAGGUACCCCGGGGAUAACAGGCUGAUCUUGCCCGAGCGUCCAUAGCGACGGCAUGGUUUGGCACCUCGAUGUCGGCUCGUCGCAUCCUGGGGCUGGAGUCGGUCCCAAGGGUUGGGCUGUUCGCCCAUUAAAGCGGCACGCGAGCUGGGUUUAGAACGUCGUGAGACAGUUCGGUCCCUAUCCGCUGCGCGCGUAGGAAUCUUGAGAGAGGCUGUCCUUAGUACGAGAGGACCGGGACGGACAAACCUCUGGUGUGCCAGUUGUCCUGCCAAGAGCACGGCUGGUUGGCUACGUUUGGAAGUGAUAACCGCUGAAAGCAUCUAAGCGGGAAGCACGUCUCAAGAUGAGGGUUCCCACAGAAUAAUCUGGUAAGGCCCCCGGAAGACCACCGGGUUGAUAGGUCGGAUGUGGAAGUGCAGUAAUGCAUGGAGCCGACCGAUACUAAUAGGCCGAGGGCUUGUUUC
rnacentral:rRNA from 1 species